rnacentral:rRNA from 1 species
UACGUAGGACCCAAGCGUUAUCCGGAAUUACUGGGCGUAAAGAGUUGCGUAGGCGGCUUAUUAAGCAAGGUGUGAAAGCACACGGCUCAACCGUGUAAACAUAUUUUGAACUGGUAGGCUAGAGUAUGGGAGAGGUUAUUGGAAUUGCUAGUGUAGGAGUGAAAUCCGUAGAUAUUAGCAGGAACACCGAUGGCGUAGGCAGAUAACUGGCCCAUUACUGACGCUCAGGCACGAAAGCGUGGGGAGCAAACGGG